rnacentral:tRNA from 1 species
ACGCCAUUAGCUCAGUGGAUAGAGCAUCCGCCUUCUAAGUGGAUGGUCACAGGUUCGAAUCCUGUAUGGCGUACCA